rnacentral:tRNA from 1 species
GGGUUCGUAGCUCAGCUGGGAGAGCGCCGCGUUCGCAACGCGGAGGUCGAGAGUUCGAUCCUCUUCGGAUCCACCA